UGGUUAGUCGUACAUUUUCUAGAGGAAAAUACGGUGGACGUGGUCCCUUCAAAAUGGUACCUAAACAGAAAUAAUGAAUGCUUCUGGCCCGACACAAAAAUUUCUAAACAGAAAAUGUUGGAUAUUAUUAAAAAGUGUGAAGAUCCAUUACCAAAUUGGAUUUCUUAUUCCGCAAAAAUUUUGGGAGAAUAUAGUAACUUUGGAGUCGCUGAAAAAAAAGUUUCAAAGCAAAAACAAGUGACGUAUUGUCUAGUUCAGAUUUAGAUGUGAGAAAAAAGAAGAAACCACAACGUUUCUCAUUUUCCAAUACAUCAUCUGAAAAUGAAACGGACUCGGACACAUCAGGAGAAUAUCCAAGAGUUCCAUCAGCACUUCAAAAAACACCUGGUGACCAUCAACAAGAAAUUUCAGAAGCGAAUAGGGCAAUUAGUGCUAUAUCAAUCGGAACUGAUACUAACCAGGAAAUUGUUACUGAAGAAAAAUUAGAAGAAUUCAAAAAAGAAAUUAGUAGACAAUUUGCUAUUAUUAAUGCCAAAUUAGAUGAUAUGUCGGAAACAUUGAAUUUGGCGAUAAAAAUAAGACAG